CCUACGGGAGGCUGCAGUGGGGAAUAUUGCACAAUGGGGGAAACCCUGAUGCAGCGACGCCGCGUGAGUGAAGAAGGAUCUCGGUGUGUAAAGCUCUAUCAGCAGGGAAGAAAAAAGACGGUACCUGACCAAGAAGCCCCGGCUAACUACGUGCGAGCAGCCGCGGUAAUACGUAGGAGGCAAGCGUUAUCCGGAUUUACGGGGUGUAAAGGGAGCGUAGACGGUAUGGCAAGUCUGAAGUGAAAGCCCAGGGCUUAACCCUGGGACUGCUUUUGAACCUGUUAGACUAGAGUGCUGGAGAGGUAAGUGGAAUUCGUGGUGUAGCGGUGAAAUGCUUAGAUAUUAGGAGGAACACCAGUGGCGAAGGCGGCUUACUGGACAGUAACUGACGUUGAGGCUCGAAAGCGUGGGGAUCAAACAGGAUUAGAUACCCGAGUAGUC
rnacentral:rRNA from 1 species